rnacentral:lncRNA from 1 species
AUGCCAACGAGAAGUGAAAGCUAUAGAUAUAACAGUUGCCUUGCAGAUACUCCAUAUCUUAUGGUACAAUUAUACUACAUGCUCAUAGCCAGUGUACUGCAUUAUUUUAUGUUCACAAGUCCAAGGAUGAUGACACUGAAUCUUUUUUUUUUCCUAUUCUGUUUCUCACUUAUUCAGACAUCCCUAGCUCAUAAGAAUAAGUGCAUUACAGAGCACAGGAUCUACCAGCAAAUGGAUACUCUAGGCAAAGAAGGAAUAUGAGUGAAAAUCCCGAAGACUCACCAGUAUGUGACGCCCAAUGAUGAGCAGUAGCUACUGCAGCAACGCUUCAGCCAGCAUGAGUGUCAACGAAGUGUCUGCCUUCUCACUGACUUUAGAGCAAAAAACUGGCUUUGCCUUUGUAGGGAUUCUGUGCGUUUUCUUGGGACUACUUAUUAUUAGAUGCUUCAAAAUCUUAUUGGACCCCUAUAGUAGCAUGCCAUCUUCCACUUGGGAAGAUGAAGUCGAGGGUCUUGAUAAAGGAACGUUUGAAUAUGCUCUUGCAUGAAAACUCAAAAGAGUAUCCUGCCUUACUUUUGAUGUUGAUUUCAUUUUGAAAACCUAGUGCUGAUACAUUUGUACUAUAUACCUAUGUUUUGAAGAUAUGAUGGUGGCAUCCAUUUUGUUAAAUAAAUAUUCAUUGCAGA